rnacentral:rRNA from 1 species
CCUACGGGUGGCAGCAGUGGGGGAUAUUGCACAAUGGGGGGAACCCUGAUGCAGCGACGCCGCGUGGGUGAAGAAGCGCCUCGGCGCGUAAAGCCCUGUCAGCAGGGAAGAAAAUGACGGUACCUGAAGAAGAAGCCCCGGCUAACUACGUGCCAGCAGCCGCGGUAAUACGGAGGAUGCGAGCGUUAUCCGGAUUUAUUGGGUUUAAAGGGUGCGUAGGCGGUCCGUUAAGUCAGCGGUAAAAUUGCGGGGCUCAACCCUGUCGAGCCGUUGAAACUGGCAGACUUGAGUUGGCGAGAAGUACGCGGAAUGCGCGGUGUAGCGGUGAAAUGCAUAGAUAUCGCGCAGAACUCCGAUUGCGAAGGCAGCGUACCGGCGCCAGACUGACGCUGAGGCACGAAAGCGUGGGGAUCGAACAGGAUUAGAUACCCGUGUAGUC